GUUUUUCAGAAAGAACCACUGGGCCGAUUUUAAUGAAAUUUGUUGCAUUUGAGAGAGCAAGUUAAAUUCCUAUGACUGUUGGAAGCGAAAUUUCGAUUCAGGGCCUGAAUGUUUUAAAUGACCUUUUCAAAAAUUGGUAGGUUUGAAAAAAAAAUAGAAGCACUAAGUUUACAAUUCGGUAGCUCUGCACCAUGAACAGAUAUCACAGGUCUGUAAAUUGCAUCCGUCACAGCAUCCAAAGCGGAUAAGCUUGAUAUGUCAAUUUAUAUCUUACGUGAUUUGUUACAUUGCUUAGAAAGG
rnacentral:lncRNA from 1 species